rnacentral:rRNA from 1 species
GACGAACGCUGGCGGCGUGCUUAACACAUGCAAGUCGAACGGAAGGGCCUGCUUUCCCUCGUGGAUUGCGGGUACUCGAGUGGCGAACGGGUGAGUAACACGUGAGUGAUCUGCCCCCAACUUGGGUAUAAGCCUGGGAAACUGGGUCUAAUUCCCGAUAGGACUGCAGGGUGGUGCCUGUGGUGGAAAACGAUUUUCUAGUGGUUGGGGAUGAGCUCGCGGCCUAUCAGCUUGUUGGUGGGGUAAUGGCCUACCAAGGCGGCGACGGGUAGCCGGCCUGAGAGGGUGGACGGCCACAUUGGGACUGAGAUACGGCCCAGACUCCUACGGGAGGCAGCAGUGGGGAAUAUUGCACAAUGGGCGGAAGCCUGAUGCAGCGACGCCGCGUGGGGGAUGACGGCCUUCGGGUUGUAAACUCCUUUCGACCGCGAGGAAGCCACCUGGUUGGAAGGGUGGUGACGGUAGUGGUAGAAGAAGCACCGGCUAACUACGUG